GACGAUCGCUGGCGGCGUGCUUAACACAUGCAAGUCGAACGAAAAGAGGGAAAGAGCUUGCUCUUUCCGGAAUUGAGUGGCAAGCGGGUGAGUAACACGUAAACAACCUGCCUUCAGGAUGGGGACAACAGACGGAAACGACUGCUAAUACCGAAUACGUUCCAAGGGCCGCAUGGCCCAUGGAAGAAAAGGUGGCCUCUACCUGUAAGCUAUCGCCUGAAGAGGGGUUUGCGUCUGAUUAGCUGGUUUGAGGGGUAACGGCCCACCAAGGCGACGAUCAGUAGCCGGUCUGAGAGGAUGAACGGCCACACUGGAAUUGAGACACGGUCCAGACUCCUACGGGAGGCAGCAGUGGGGAACCUUCCGCAAUGGGCGAAAGCCUGACGAAGCAACGCCGCGUGAGUGAUGACGGCCUUCGGGUUGUAAAACUCUGUGAUCCGGGACGAAAAGGCAGAGUGCGAAGAACCAACUGAAUUGACGGUACCGGAAAAGCAGGCCACGGCUAACUACGUG
rnacentral:rRNA from 1 species